AUGAGUUCGAAAAUUCCCGCCGCCCACUUGAAUAGGAUGCUCCGCUGCUUUUCUCCUCUCAGCUCCAAAUCGAGACCCAGCGGCAGCCUGACCAUUUCCCUCUUCUCUACCACUACUUCAACAGCCGCUCUCCUCCAGAAAUGCAAAUCUCUUGUCCAAGCCAAGCUCAUCCACCAACAGCUCCUCAUCCAAGGCCUCUCCCACCGUUUCACUGCCCACCUUAUUUCCGCUUACCUUACUCACCAUGCCCCUUCCCAUUCCCUUUCCCUCCUCCAACGCUUCACCCCUUCUCUCUCUGCCGUCUUCUUCUGGAACUCUCUUAUUCGGCGCUCCCUUCACCUCGGCUUUUCCCAUGACGUUAUCACUCUCUUCCGCAGGAUGCUAAGCCUCGGCUGUUCUCCGGACCACUACACCUUCCCUUUUGUCCUUAAGGCCUGCGGCCAGCUUCCCUCCUUCCGCCGUGGAGCAGCUGUUCAUGCUGUUGUCUGUGCUACUGGGUUUGAGUUCAAUGUCUUUGUUUGUAACGCGCUGGUGGGAAUGUACGCUCGGUGUGGUGGGUUGGACGACGCACGACAGGUUUUCGACGAAAUGUGUGACCGAGGGAUAUGUGAUGUUGUCUCCUGGAAUUCCAUUGUGGCCGCUUAUAUGCAAAGCAGGGAUGCGAGGAAUGCGGUAGAGUUGUUUCGCAGGAUGACUUGUUAUUGGGAAAUCCACCCAGAUGUCGUUAGCCUUGUCAACGUGCUUCCUGCUUGUGCGUCUCUGGCCGAGUCUUUGCAUGGUAAGCAACUGCAUGGUUUCGCUCUGAGGCUUGGUUUGUUUGAGGACGUUUUUUUUGGUAAUGCUUUGGUAGAUAUGUAUGCAAAGUGUGGGAUGAUGGAUGAGGCAAAUAAGGUUUUUGAGAGGAUGAAGGUGAAGGAUGUUGUUUCUUGGAAUGCAAUGGUUACUGGGUAUUCUCAGAUUGGUAGGUUUGAGGAGGCUCUGGGGUUAUUUGAAAAGAUGGGGGAGGAGAAAAUCGAGUUGGAUGUUGUGACUUGGAGUGCUGUGAUUGCGGGCUAUGCUCAAAGGGGUCAUGGUAAUGAAGCAUUGGAUGUGUUCAGGCAAAUGCAACUCUGUGGUUGCAAACCUAAUGUUGUUACACUUGUGUCCCUUCUUUCUGCUUGUGCUUUGAUUGAAGCAUUGGUUGAGGGGAAGGAGACUCACUGUUACGCCAUCAAAUGUGUUUUGAACUAUGAUUGGAAUGAUCCAGGAGAAGAUCUCAUGGUGAUUAAUGGUCUAAUUGACAUGUAUGCUAAGUGCAAGAGUACAAAUGUGGCUCGUUCCAUGUUUGACUCAGUUGCACCAAGUAAUAGGAAUGUUGUGACUUGGACUGUCAUGAUUGGUGGAUAUGCACAGCAUGGGGAAGCCAAUGAUGCAUUGAAGCUUUUUUCUGAAAUGUUCCAAGAAGAUAAGUCUGUGAAGCCAAAUACUUUUACUAUAUGCUGUGCCUUGAUGGCUUGUGCUCAUUUGGCUGCACUAAGGUUUGGUACGCAGAUUCAUGCUUAUAUAUUACGCAAUUGGUAUGAAUCUGUGCUGUUGUUUAUGAAAAAUUGCCUGAUAGAUAUGUAUGUGAAAUCUGGUGAUAUACAUGCUGCUAGAGUUGUGUUUGACAACAUGCAGCAAAGAAAUUCAGUUUCUUGGACAUCCCUACUUACUGGUUAUGGCAUGCAUGGCUAUGGUCAAGAAGCAAUCAAGGUUUUUGAUGAGAUGAGGGCAGCAGGACUUGUUCCUGAUGGUAUUACCUUUCUUGUUGUGCUCUAUGCUUGCAGCCAUUCAGGAAUGGUUGACCAGGGAAUCAGAUUCUUCAAUAACAUGCAUAGUGAGUUUGGCGUCAUUCCUGGGUUGGAACAUUACGCUUGCAUGGUUGAUCUCUUAGGCCGUGCUGGUCGAUUGGGUGAAGCUUUGAAACUUAUUCAGAGCAUGCCCAUGGAGCCAACCGCAAUAAUAUGGGUGGCAUUACUUAGUGGUUGUAGGAUACAUGGAAAUGUGGAACUUGGGGAAUAUGCUGCUAACCAGCUGCAGGAAUUGGAUUCAGUGAAUGAUGGGUCAUAUACACUGCUUUCAAACAUAUAUGCCAAUGCCAGGCGUUGGAGAGAUGUGGCCAGGAUCAGAUCUUUGAUGAAACAUUCAGGGGUCAAAAAGAGACCAGGUUGGAGUUGGGUCCAAGGAAAGAAAGGUACUGCAACCUUCUAUGUGGGUGACAGGUCUCAUCCACAAUUUGAACAAAUAUAUGAACUUCUUGCUGACUUGAUUCAACGCAUUAAGGCAAUUGGGUAUGUUCCUGAGAUGAACUUUGCACUUCAUGAUGUGGAUGAUGAAGAGAAAGGUGAUCUUCUUUUUGAACAUAGUGAGAAGUUAGCUCUAGCCUAUGGCAUUUUAACCUCAUCUCCUGGGGUGCCUAUUCGUAUCACCAAGAACUUGCGCAUCUGUGGUGAUUGCCAUAAUGCCAUUACUUACAUAUCCUUGAUCAUUGAUCAUGAAAUCAUAAUAAGGGAUUCAAGUCGCUUCCAUCAUUUCAAGAACGGAUCUUGCUCAUGUGGAGGCUACUGGUGAUACUGGAUUAUUGAUGACAAGGUGGGUUAUUAAUUUGUGGUACUUGAAGAGGUCCUAGUAUGAUUACACAACCAUGAAGGAUAGUUAUACUUUUGAGUCUGCUCUUUCAUAUAGAGUACAAGGGGUAGCUUGUUAUGUUUUAGACUCAAACAACACGAUAUUAAUGCAACUAAGAGGUAGAAUUUGUUCUCACAUGGUUUUAAUGAAGGAACACAGGAAAAAGAAAUUUCUAUAGCAACACAAGCUUGACAUAACUAAGAGGCAGAAUUCAUUCUCAAAUGGGUUUAUGAAGAAAUACAGGAAAUAGCAUUUUCUGAUUCAUUCUGUAACAGAAAGAAUAACUUAGUAGAGACAAGGGAUACUAUUAGACACAAUCAAUUCAGUUUGUUUCGAAAUCAGCAGCUACUUCUGCUUUGUGCUUCCAUGCUCCAUGUUUGAGGCUCGCUUAACAAGCCAAAUUGAUUCUUAGCAGAAGGUUCCUGCAUGUUUCAUUUUGAGGAGAUAGAAGAUGUUCAACAUAUAAGUUUCAGUUGAACUCAACAAAGGGUGAAUCGCCAUUUUGAAGAUGUCUAACUAGUAAACCAUGAAGAUAUGCAACAAAUGAGGUGGAUUGGGUGUGGCAGGAGGAAAACCAAACUUAUUCUCAGAGAUUGACUUUAUUGUGUCAAAUCAACCACUAUUGAUUUGAGAAUGCAAGGUCCUCAAAGACUUUGAGAAUGCAAUGUUAGGUGAGAUGAUUUGCAAUUGGAGAAAACCUGCAUAAAUGUUCAUGGUUGUUCCCAAAUCAAGGUUAUUGCAAGGAGUAGGGCUUAAUUUUAUGAAAUUUUGUAAAGGCAAGUGAGUGGUCACCUCUAGACUGAUUGCUAAUGUGCUUUAGCAAAAUGUUCAAAGGUAUCAAUCUCAGAUUUGAAGCAUAAGAGAACUACUUAGUCAUCAACCCUGCAGGGUGUUGUUGCACUAUCUGGCCUAACCAGCAUAAAUCGUAACCAGUGGAUGAGACAGGGAGAUCUGGGCCAACUGUUAGAGUAACCUCCGUGUCAAAAAAGGAAAGAAUCAAGAUUGCUUUUGUAUGAAAUCUUUCACAUUCCCCAUGAACAAACCAGUCUCUGGCAAUCCUGGAACACCAUAGAAAGAGUGGAUAGCAUUUGGAUACUCAAUCAAAUAUGCCUCUUUCUCACACUUCUUCAAC